rnacentral:rRNA from 1 species
UACAGAGGUCUCAAGCGUUGUUCGGAUUCAUUGGGCGUAAAGGGUGCGUAGGCGGCGCGGUAAGUCGGGUGUGAAAUCUUGGAGCUUAACUCCGAAACUGCAUUCGAUACUGCCGUGCUUGAGGACUGGAGAGGAGACUGGAAUUUACGGUGUAGCGGUGAAAUGCGUAGAUAUCGUAAGGAAGACCAGUGGCGAAGGCGGGUCUCUGGACAGUUCCUGACGCUGAGGCACGAAAGCCAGGGGAGCAAACGGGG